GCCGGGCGUGGUGGCGUGCGCUUGUAGUCCCAGCUACUUGAGAGGCUGAGGUAUGAGAAUCGCUUGAACCCAGGAGGCAGAGGGUGCAGUGAGCCAAGAUCGCACCACUGCACUCCUGCCUGGGUGACAGAGCGAGACCCUGUCUCAA
ensembl:misc_RNA Metazoa_SRP Metazoan signal recognition particle RNA